AUGGACUUAUUGGUAAAGUACUUGCCUUGCAAGCAUGAGGACCUGAGUUCAAUCCCUAGAGCCCAUG
rnacentral:tRNA from 1 species